UCACGGGAGACACACGGCGGGUGCUAACGUCCGUCGUGAAGAGGGAAACAACCCAGACCGCCAGCUAAGGUCCCAAAGUCAUGGUUAAGUGGGAAACGAUGUGGGAAGGCCCAGACAGCCAGGAUGUUGGCUUAGAAGCAGCCAUCAUUUAAAGAAAGCGUAAUAGCUCACUGGUCGAGUCGGCCUGCGCGGAAGAUGUAACGGGGCUAAACCAUGCACCGAAGCUGCGGCAGCGACGCUGAUGCGUUGUUGGGUAGGGGAGCGUUCUGUAAGCCUGUGAAGGUGGCCUGUGAGGGUUGCUGGAGGUAUCAGAAGUGCGAAUGCUGACAUAAGUAACGAUAAAGCGGGUGAAAAGCCCGCUCGCCGGAAGACCAAGGGUUCCUGUCCAACGUUAAUCGGGGCAGGGUGAGUCGACCCCUAAGGCGAGGCCGAAAGGCGUAGUCGAUGGGAAACGGGUUAAUAUUCCCGUACUUGGUGUUACUGCGAAGGGGGGACGGAGAAGGCUAUGUUGGCCGGGCGACGGUUGUCCCGGUUUAAGCGUGUAGGUGUGUGUUCCAGGUAAAUCCGGUUCACUUUAACACUGAGGCGUGAUGACGAGGCACUACGGUGCUGAAGCAACAAAUGCCCUGCUUCCAGGAAAAGCCUCUAAGCAUCAGGUAACAUCAAAUCGUACCCCAAACCGACACAGGUGGUCAGGUAGAGAAUACCAAGGCGCUUGAGAGAACUCGGGUGAAGGAACUAGGCAAAAUGGUGCCGUAACUUCGGGAGAAGGCACGCUGACAC
rnacentral:rRNA from 1 species